AGAGUUUGAUCAUGGCUCAGGACGAACGCUGGCGGCGCGCCUAACACAUGCAAGUCGAACGAGAGAGAGGGAGCUUGCUUCCUUGAUCGAGUGGCGAACGGGUGAGUAACGCGUGAGGAACCUGCCUCAAAGAGGGGGACAACAGUUGGAAACGACUGCUAAUACCGCAUAAGCCCACGACCCGGCAUCGGGAAGAGGGAAAAGGAGCAAUCCGCUUUGAGAUGGCCUCGCGUCCGAUUAGCUAGUUGGUGAGGUAACGGCCCACCAAGGCGACGAUCGGUAGCCGGACUGAGAGGUUGAACGGCCACAUUGGGACUGAGACACGGCCCAGACUCCUACGGGAGGCAGCAGUGGGGAAUAUUGCACAAUGGGGGAAACCCUGAUGCAGCGACGCCGCGUGGAGGAAGAAGGUCUUCGGAUUGUAAACUCCUGUUGUUGAGGAAGAUAAUGACGGUACUCAACAAGGAAGUGACGGCUAACUACGUGCCAGCAGCCGCGGUAAAACGUAGGUCACAAGCGUUGUCCGGAAUUACUGGGUGUAAAGGGAGCGCAGGCGGGCGAUCAAGUUGGAAGUGAAAUCCAUGGGCUCAACCCAUGAACUGCUUUCAAAACUGGUCGUCUUGAGUAGUGCAGAGGUAGGCGGAAUUCCCGGUGUAGCGGUGGAAUGCGUAGAUAUCGGGAGGAACACCAGUGGCGAAGGCGGCCUACUGGGCACCAACUGACGCUGAGGCUCGAAAGUGUGGGUAGCAAACAGGAUUAGAUACCCUGGUAGUCCACACCGUAAACGAUGAUUACUAGGUGUUGGGAGAUUGACCCUCUCAGUGCCGCAGUUAACACAAUAAGUAAUCCACCUGGGGAGUACGACCGCAAGGUUGAAACUCAAAGGAAUUGACGGGGGCCCGCACAAGCAGUGGAGUAUGUGGUUUAAUUCGACGCAACGCGAAGAACCUUACCAAGUCUUGACAUCCUCUGGCGAACGUAGAAAUACGUUUUCUCUUCGGAGCAGAGAGACAGGUGGUGCAUGGUUGUCGUCAGCUCGUGUCGUGAGAUGUUGGGUGAAAUCCCGCAACGAGCGCAACCCUUAUGGUCAGUUACUACGCAAGAGGACUCUGGCCAGACUGCCGUUGACAAAACGGAGGAAGGUGGGGAUGACGUCAAAUCAUCAUGCCCUUUAUGACUUGGGCUACACACGUACUACAAUGGCGUUAAACAAAGA
rnacentral:rRNA from 1 species